AAGCAGUGAGGAUAAAAUGCGCUUGAUGUGAAGGACUGGGUUCAAUCACAACCGUCUGAUUCCAUUAGACGAUGAUAAAUCAGCGCAUCUGAGCUU
rfam:Musa acuminata subsp. malaccensis Doubled-haploid Pahang (DH-Pahang) genomic chromosome, chr10